rnacentral:rRNA from 1 species
GGUUAAGCGACUAAGCGUACACGGUGGAUGCCCUGGCAGUCAGAGGCGAUGAAGGGCGUGCUAAUCUGCGAUAAGCGCCGGUAAGGUGAUAUGAACCGUUAUAACCGGCGAUACCCGAAUGGGGAAACCCAGUGUGACUCGUCACACUAUCAUUAACUGAAUCCAUAGGUUAAUGAGGCGAACCGGGGGAACUGAAACAUCUAAGUACCCCGAGGAAAAGAAAUCAACCGAGAUUCCCCCAGUAGCGGCGAGCGAACGGGGAGGAGCCCAGAGCCUGAAUCAGCAUGUGUGUUAGUGGAAGCGUCUGGAAAGGCGCGCGAUACAGGGUGACAGCCCCGUACACAAAAGCGCAUGUGCUGUGAGCUCGAUGAGUAGGGCGGGACACGUGGUAUCCUGUCUGAAUAUGGGGGGACCAUCCUCCAAGGCUAAAUACUCCUGACUGACCGAUAGUGAACCAGUACCGUGAGGGAAAGGCGAAAAGAACCCCGGCGAGGGGAGUGAAAAAGAACCUGAAACCGUGUACGUACAAGCAGUGGGAGCACCCUUUGGGUGUGACUGCGUACCUUUUGUAUAAUGGGUCAGCGACUUAUAUUCUGUAGCAAGGUUAACCGAAUAGGGGAGCCGGAGGGAAACCGAGUCUUAAUUGGGCGUUAAGUUGCAGGGUAUAGACCCGAAACCCGGUGAUCUAGCCAUGGGCAGGUUGAAGGUUGGGUAACACUAACUGGAGGACCGAACCGACUAAUGUUGAAAAAUUAGCGGAUGACCUGUGGCUGGGGGUGAAAGGCCAAUCAAACCGGGAGAUAGCUGGUUCUCCCCGAAAGCUAUUUAGGUAGCGCCUCGUGAAUUCAUCUCCGGGGGUAGAGCACUGUUUCGGCUAGGGGGCCAUCCCGGCUUACCAACCCGAUGCAAACUGCGAAUACCGGAGAAUGUUAUCACGGGAGACACACGGCGGGUGCUAACGUCCGUCGUGAAGAGGGAAACAACCCAGACCGCCAGCUAAGGUCCCAAAGUCAUGGUUAAGUGGGAAACGAUGUGGGAAGGCCCAGACAGCCAGGAUGUUGGCUUAGAAGCAGCCAUCAUUUAAAGAAAGCGUAAUAGCUCACUGGUCGAGUCGGCCUGCGCGGAAGAUGUAACGGGGCUAAACCAUGCACCGAAGCUGCGGCAGCGACACUGUGUGUUGUUGGGUAGGGGAGCGUUCUGUAAGCCUGUGAAGGUGUGUCGUGAGGCAUGCUGGAGGUAUCAGAAGUGCGAAUGCUGACAUAAGUAACGAUAAAGCGGGUGAAAAGCCCGCUCGCCGGAAGACCAAGGGUUCCUGUCCAACGUUAAUCGGGGCAGGGUGAGUCGACCCCUAAGGCGAGGCCGAAAGGCGUAGUCGAUGGGAAACGGGUUAAUAUUCCCGUACUUGGUGUUACUGCGAAGGGGGGACGGAGAAGGCUAUGUUGGCCGGGCGACGGUUGUCCCGGUUUAAGCGUGUAGGUGUGUGUUCCAGGUAAAUCCGGUUCACUUUAACACUGAGGCGUGACGACGAGGCACUACGGUGCUGAAGCAACAAAUGCCCUGCUUCCAGGAAAAGCCUCUAAGCAUCAGGUAACAUCAAAUCGUACCCCAAACCGACACAGGUGGUCAGGUAGAGAAUACCAAGGCGCUUGAGAGAACUCGGGUGAAGGAACUAGGCAAAAUGGUGCCGUAACUUCGGGAGAAGGCACGCUGACACGUAGGUGAAGUGAUUUACUCAUGGAGCUGAAGUCAGUCGAAGAUACCAGCUGGCUGCAACUGUUUAUUAAAAACACAGCACUGUGCAAACACGAAAGUGGACGUAUACGGUGUGACGCCUGCCCGGUGCCGGAAGGUUAAUUGAUGGGGUCAGCGCAAGCGAAGCUCCUGAUCGAAGCCCCGGUAAACGGCGGCCGUAACUAUAACGGUCCUAAGGUAGCGAAAUUCCUUGUCGGGUAAGUUCCGACCUGCACGAAUGGCGUAAUGAUGGCCAGGCUGUCUCCACCCGAGACUCAGUGAAAUUGAACUCGCUGUGAAGAUGCAGUGUACCCGCGGCAAGACGGAAAGACCCCGUGAACCUUUACUAUAGCUUGACACUGAACAUUGAGCCUUGAUGUGUAGGAUAGGUGGGAGGCUUUGAAGUGUGGACGCCAGUCUGCAUGGAGCCGACCUUGAAAUACCACCCUUUAAUGUUUGAUGUUCUAACGUGGACCCGUUACCCGGGUUGCGGACAGUGUCUGGUGGGUAGUUUGACUGGGGCGGUCUCCUCCUAAAGAGUAACGGAGGAGCACGAAGGUUGGCUAAUCCUGGUCGGACAUCAGGAGGUUAGUGCAAUGGCAUAAGCCAGCUUGACUGCGAGCGUGACGGCGCGAGCAGGUGCGAAAGCAGGUCAUAGUGAUCCGGUGGUUCUGAAUGGAAGGGCCAUCGCUCAACGGAUAAAAGGUACUCCGGGGAUAACAGGCUGAUACCGCCCAAGAGUUCAUAUCGACGGCGGUGUUUGGCACCUCGAUGUCGGCUCAUCACAUCCUGGGGCUGAAGUAGGUCCCAAGGGUAUGGCUGUUCGCCAUUUAAAGUGGUACGCGAGCUGGGUUUAGAACGUCGUGAGACAGUUCGGUCCCUAUCUGCCGUGGGCGCUGGAGAACUGAGGGGGGCUGCUCCUAGUACGAGAGGACCGGAGUGGACGCAUCACUGGUGUUCGGGUUGUCAUGCCAAUGGCACUGCCCGGUAGCUAAAUGCGGAAGAGAUAAGUGCUGAAAGCAUCUAAGCACGAAACUUGCCCCGAGAUGAGUUCUCCCUGAGACUUAAAGUCUCCUGAAGGAACGUUGAAGACGACGACGUUGAUAGGCCGGGUGUGUAAGCGCAGCGAUGCGUUGAGCUAACCGGUACUAAUGAACCGUGAGGCUUAACCUUACAACGCCGAAG